rnacentral:lncRNA from 1 species
GGGUUUUUAAUUUUGUAAUAAGGGCGUUAGUGGGUUUUAAUUUAUAUUUGGGCUUUGGAUUAUAUAUUUUUAAACUGCUAGUCUAGGUAAAGACGAGUUUUUUAAAACAAUUACUUUUUUCUAUGACAUGCGUUUUAAACUUCAUCGACUUAAAAAGCUUUCACGUUUUAAAAUCAAUUUAUUAUAACACUGAUGGUUAAUAAGGAAAAU